rnacentral:rRNA from 1 species
UACGGAGGGGGCUAGCGUUGUUCGGAAUUACUGGGCGUAAAGCGCACGUAGGCGGCUAUUCAAGUCAGAGGUGAAAGCCCGGGGCUCAACCCCGGAACUGCCUUUGAAACUAGGUAGCUGGAAUCUUGGAGAGGCGAGUGGAAUUCCGAGUGUAGAGGUGAAAUUCGUAGAUAUUCGGAAGAACACCAGUGGCGAAGGCGACUCGCUGGACAAGUAUUGACGCUGAGGUGCGAAAGCGUGGGGAGCAAACAGG